CCCAAGAGGAGCUCUGCAGCCUGGGGAGAUCAGCUGCCUGCCUCUCUGAGACCACUGUAAACUGCAAGUUCCAAGAGGGCAAGGAUGCCUUGUUUAUGCCCAGAAUCUACCACAUACAUACACUCCAUAACUAUUUGUGGAAAGAGUGAAUGAAGUUAUCCAUCAAGUUGAGACUGGGUGAUUUAAAAACAGCCAGCAGGGGGUACAGCUGCCAAUAGCCCAAGAUCAUCCAAACGAAAGAGAGAACCUCUGUCUAUCUUACAUUUGGAGAAAUCUGGGAAAGGAUUCAAACUGGUCAGGCAAGUAAAAUGUAUCCUUCCUUUGACCAAUUACCAUGUACAGGGGGAUGUUACAUUAUCAAUAGUCCAAGCCGGGU